CGUUAGCGGCGGACGGGUGAGUAACACGUGGGUAACCUACCUAUAAGACUGGGAUAACUUCGGGAAACCGGAGCUAAUACCGGAUAAUAUUUCGAACCGCAUGGUUCGAUAGUGAAAGAUGGUUUUGCUAUCACUUGUAGAUGGACCCGCGCCGUAUUAGCUAGUUGGUAAGGUAACGGCUCACCAAGGCGACAUACGUAGCCGACCUGAGAGGGUGAUCGGCCACACUGGAACUGAGACACGGUCCAGACUCCUACGGGAGGCAGCAGCA
rnacentral:rRNA from 1 species